rnacentral:rRNA from 1 species
UGGGGAAUAUUGCGCAAUGGGCGAAAGCCUGACGCAGCAACGCCGCGUGAGUGAUGAAGGUCUUCGGAUUGUAAACCACUGUCGCGAGGGACGAAGCUCUGACGGUACCUCGAAAGGAAGCACCGGCUAACUCUGUGCCAGCAGCCGCGGUAAUACAGAGGGUGCGAGCGUUGUCCGGAAUCACUGGGCGUAAAGGGCGCGUAGGCGGCCCGGUAAGUAGGGGGUGAAAUCUCAUGGCUCAACUGUGAGGCUGCCUUCUAGACUGCCAGGCUUGAGCACAGUAGAGGCGAGUGGAAUUCCCGGUGUAGCGGUGGAAUGCGUAGAGAUCGGGAAGAACAUCGGUGGCGAAGGCGGCUCGCUGGGCUGUUGCUGACGCUGAGGCGCGAAAGCGUGGGGAGCAAACAGGAUUAGAUACCCUCGUAGUCCCUGAGCGGGCUGGCAAGGCGCAU